rnacentral:rRNA from 1 species
GAUGAACGCUGGCGGCGUGCCUAAUACAUGCAAGUCGAGCGAACAGAUGAGGAGCUUGCUUCUCUGACGUUAGCGGCGGACGGGUGAGUAACACGUGGAUAACCUACCUAUAAGACUGGGAUAACUUCGGGAAACCGGAGCUAAUACCGGAUAAUAUUUUGAACCGCAUGGUUCAAUAGUGAAAGACGGUCUUGCUGUCACUUAUAGAUGGAUCCGCGCCGCAUUAGCUAGUUGGUAAGGUAACGGCUUACCUAGGCAACGAUGCAUAGCCGACCUGAGAGGGUGAUCGGCCACACUGGAACUGAGACACGGUCCAGACUCCUACGGGAGGCAGCAGUAGGGAAUCUUCCGCAAUGGGCGAAAGCCUGACGGAGCAACGCCGCGUGAGUGAUGAAGGUCUUCGGAUCGUAAAACUCUGUUAUUAGGGAAGAACAAAUGUGUAAGUAACUGUGCACGUCUUGACGGUACCUAAUCAGAAAGCCACGGCUAACUACGUG